UGAGGAAUAUUGCACAAUGGGCGCAAGCCUGAUGCAGCCAUGCCGCGUGUGUGAAGAAGGCCUUCGGGUUGUAAAGCACUUUCAGCGAGGAGGAAGGUGGUGAGCUUAAUACGCUCAUCAAUUGACGUUACUCGCAGAAGAAGCACCGGCUAACUCCGUGCCAGCAGCCGCGGUAAUACGGAGGGUGCAAGCGUUAAUCGGAAUUACUGGGCGUAAAGCGCACGCAGGCGGUUUGUUAAGUCAGAUGUGAAAUCCCCGGGCUCAACCUGGGAACUGCAUUUGAAACUGGCAAGCUAGAGUCUCGUAGAGGGGGGUAGAAUUCCAGGUGUAGCGGUGAAAUGCGUAGAGAUCUGGAGGAAUACCGGUGGCGAAGGCGGCCCCCUGGACGAAGACUGACGCUCAGGUGCGAAAGCGUGGGGCAGCAAACAGGAUUAGAUACCCUGGUAGUCCACGCUGUAAACGAUGUCGAUUUUGGAGGUUGUGCCCUUGAGGCGUGGCUUCCGGAGCUAACGCGUUAAAUCGACCGCCUGGGGAGUACGGCCGCAAGGUUAAAACUCAAAGGAAUUG
rnacentral:rRNA from 1 species